rnacentral:rRNA from 1 species
GAUGAACGCUGGCGGCGUGCCUAAUACAUGCAAGUCGAGCGAACGGACGAGAAGCUUGCUUCUCUGACGUUAGCGGCGGACGGGUGAGUAACACGUGGAUAACCUACCUAUAAGACUGGGAUAACUUCGGGAAACCGGAGCUAAUACCGGAUAAUAUAUUGAACCGCAUGGUUCAAUAGUGAAAGACGGUUUUGCUGUCACUUAUAGAUGGAUCCGCGCUGCAUUAGCUAGUUGGUAAGGUAACGGCUUACCAAGGCAACGAUGCGUAGCCGACCUGAGAGGGUGAUCGGCCACACUGGAACUGAGACACGGUCCAGACUCCUACGGGAGGCAGCAGUAGGGAAUCUUCCGCAAAGGGCGAAAGCCUGACGGAGCAACGCCGCGUGAGUGAUGAAGGUCUUCGGAUCGUAAAACUCUGUUAUUAGGGAAGAACAUAUGUGUAAGUAACUGUGCACAUCUUGACGGUACCUAAUCAGAAAGCCACGGCUAACUACGUG